rnacentral:rRNA from 1 species
UAUCUGCAGUAGACGCUGAAGGAGGAGCUUGCUUCUCUGGAUGAGUUGCGAACGGGUGAGUAACGCGUAGGUAACCUGCCUGGUAGCGGGGGAUAACUAUUGGAAACGAUAGCUAAUACCGCAUAAUAUUGACUAUUGCAUGAUAGUUGAUUAAAAGGUGCAAUUGCACCACUACCAGAUGGACCUGCGUUGUAUUAGCUAGUUGGUGGGGUAACGGCUCACCAAGGCGACGAUACAUAGCCGACCUGAGAGGGUGAUCGGCCACACUGGGACUGAGACACGGCCCAGACUCCUACGGGAGGCAGCAGUAGGGAAUCUUCGGCAAUGGACGGAAGUCUGACCGAGCAACGCCGCGUGAGUGAAGAAGGUUUUCGGAUCGUAAAGCUCUGUUGUAAGAGAAGAACGAGUGUGAGAGUGGAAAGUUCACACUGUGACGGUAUCUUACCAGAAAGGGACGGCUAACUACGUGCCAGC